rnacentral:rRNA from 1 species
CGGAGGGUGCAAGCGUUAAUCGGAAUUACUGGGCGUAAAGCGCACGCAGGUGGCUAAGUCAGUCGAUUGUGGAAGCCCUGGGCUUAACCUGGGAAUUGCAGUCGAUACUACUUAGCUAGAGUAUGGGAGAGGGCAGUGGAAUUCCCGGUGUAGCGGUGAAAUGCGUAGAUAUCGGGAGGAACAUCAGUGGCGAAGGCGGCUGCCUGGCCCAAUACUGACACUCAGGUGCGACAGCGUGGGGAGCAAGCAGGAUUAGAUACCCUGGUAGUCCACGCCGUAAACGAUGAGAACUAGAUGUCGGGAGGGAUUAGCCUCUCGGUGUCGUAGCUAACGCGCUAAGUUCUCCGCCUGGGGAGUACGGCCGCAAGGUUG